rnacentral:rRNA from 1 species
GAUGAACGCUGGCGGCGUGCUUAACACAUGCAAGUCGAACGUGAGGGUGCAGCGAUGUGCCUGAAAGUGGCGAACGGGUGAGUAACACGUAGAUGACCUGCCCUGGAGUGGGGGAUAACCAUUGGAAACGGUGGCUAAUACCGCAUACAUCCGGAGAACUGGGAAGUUUUCUGGGGAAAGCUCUGGUGCUUCAGGAGGGGUCUGCGUCCGAUUAGCUAGUUGGUGGGGUAAAGGCUCACCAAGGCGACGAUCGGUAGCUGGUCUGAGAGGACGAUCAGCCACACGGGAACUGAGACACGGUCCCGACUCCUACGGGGGGCAGCAGUGAGGAAUAUUGGGCAAUGGCGAAGCCUGACCCA